rnacentral:rRNA from 1 species
UACGUAGGGGGCAAGCGUUGUCCGGAUUUAUUGGGCGUAAAGAGCGUGUAGGCGGCUAGGUAGGUCCGUUGUGAAAACUCGAGGCUCAACCUCGAGACGCCGAUGGAAACCGUUUGGCUAGAGUCCGGAAGAGGAGAGUGGAAUUCCUGGUGUAGCGGUGAAAUGCGCAGAUAUCAGGAAGAACACCCGUGGCUAAGGCGGCUCUCUAGUACGGUACUGACGCUGAGACGCGAAAGCGUGGGGAGCGAACAGG